rnacentral:rRNA from 1 species
CAAGUCGAGCGAGAAAUCCCCGCAAGGGGAUGAGUACAGCGGCGAACGGGUGAGUAACACGUGGGCAACCUGCCCUUCAGUUAGGAAUAACCCCGCGAAAGCGGGGCUAAUACCAGAUGACGUCCCUUGGGGGCAUCUUCAGGGGACCAAAGGGGGCGAGCGAAAGCGGCUCUCGCUGAGGGAUGGGCCUGCGGCUGAUUAGCUAGUUGGUGGGGUCACGGCCUACCAAGGCGACGAUCAGUAGCCGACCUGAGAGGGUGACCGGCCACACUGGGACUGAGACACGGCCCAGACUCCUACGGGAGGCAGCAGUGGGGAAUAUUGCGCAAUGGGCGAAAGCCUGACGCAGCGACGCCGCGUGGGUGAUGAAGGCCUUCGGGUCGUAAAACCCUGUCGGGUGGAACGAAUCCCCAUCUUGCUAAUACCAAGAUGGAUUGACGGUACCACCGAAGGAAGCCCCGGCUAACUACGUGCCAGCAGCCGCGGU